AGGACAAAUACAGAAUGUGAGGUGCAGGGAGCUGAAGGCCCCUGGGAAGUGACCAACUCAGCAUUUCGCUGGAGGCUAUAGGAUCAAACAGCAAACUGUUUAUCAUGAAUGCAGGAUGUGGGCAAACUCACACUGCCCUGCCACCAAAAGGUUUGUUGAGGGCCUCACUCCCUGGCGCUGGGCUCCUUGAAGUUAUCUAUUGAGAAGUCUAGCACCUAAGAAUGCAGUCUUGCAAGCCUGCUGCGAAUCAAGCUGCUGGCCAACAACCACUCCCCACCUUCUCACUAUCUCUAUUGCCUAAUAAAUAUGGAGGGCAGUGUAAAGCUCAGGGCCCUUGUCCACUAGAGACAAGGUGCCCUCCGACCCCUUCUUCCAAAUAUACUCUUUUGCCUCUUGUCUUUUAUUCCCGUGUUUGCCCCCUUUGUUCAGUCCCCCUAGGUCCAUGCAGGUUACAUAGUGGUGCCCCAAACAGUGACACAAUUGGGUUCUCAACAAGUGGUGACUCAGAACAGGGACGCCAAGGAUGCCAACAAGUGGCGUCUGAACACGGGACUUCGACGAUGUGAACAAAAAAGAUCUGCUGGAGCAGAGAAGCUGAAAUUGACAAGGCAAACGGGGACCCCAGGAUGAGUCUGCCGGCAGCAUAUAUAAGGCAGGGACUAUAGGAAAUGAAGGUGAACUCGUGGAGAUUUUGGAGAGAAUUUAAUGAAGAGGCUGUUUACCAAGGAUCUCUCUCUGUCUCCGAGGCUGGAGUGCAAUGUUGCAAUCAGGGCUCACUGCAGCCUCGACCUCCUGGGCUCAACUGAUCUUCGUACCACAGCCUCAUGAGUAACUGGGACUACAGAUAGUAUCUCAUGAUAUGAAUGGUCCUGGAUUUACUUACACAUCCUCCUUUGGAUGAGCAAAAAGUAAAUUUUUCACAGUGAUAGACAUUUGUAGUGCUUUUUAAAGGCACUGGUUCUGGUGGACACUGAGAGACAAUUUUUAUUUGCUGCACGUGGAAAGGACAACAACAUACCUGGACAGAAAUGCCUCGAGGAUGUACUGAAGGCCCCUCUCACUUUUCACAGCCAUAACUGUAAGUUUCCUGGGGCCUCUCCAGAAGACAAGCAGAUGCCGCUAUGCUUCCUGAACAGCCCACAGAACUCUCCCAGUUGUGGGCAGAGUCUGGUUAAGGUACAGCCUUGGAAUUAUUUUAACAUUUUCAGUCGCAUUCUUGGAGGAAGCCAAGUGGAGAAGGGUUCCUAUCCCUGGCAGGUAUCUCUGAAACAAAGGCAGAAGCAUAUUUGUGGAGGAAGCAUCGUCUCACCACAGUGGGUGAUCACGGCGGCUCACUGCAUUGCAAACAGAAACAUUGUGUCUACUUUGAAUGUUACUGCUGGAGAGUAUGACUUAAGCCAGACAGACCCAGGAGAGCAAACUCUCACUAUUGAAACUGUCAUCAUACAUCCACAUUUCUCCACCAAGAAACCAAUGGACUAUGAUAUUGCCCUUUUGAAGAUGGCUGGAGCCUUCCAAUUUGGCCACUUUGUGGGGCCCAUAUGUCUUCCAGAGCUGCGGGAGCAAUUUGAGGCUGGUUUUAUUUGUACAACUGCAGGCUGGGGCCGCUUAACUGAAGGUGGCGUCCUCUCACAAGUCUUGCAGGAAGUGAAUCUGCCUAUUUUGACCUGGGAAGAGUGUGUGGCAGCUCUGUUAACACUAAAGAGGCCCAUCAGUGGGAAGACCUUUCUUUGCACAGGUUUUCCUGAUGGAGGGAGAGACGCAUGUCAGGGAGAUUCAGGAGGUUCACUCAUGUGCCGGAAUAAGAAAGGGGCCUGGACUCUGGCUGGUGUGACUUCCUGGGGUUUGGGCUGUGGUCGAGGCUGGAGAAACAAUGUGAGGAAAAGUGAUCAAGGAUCCCCUGGGAUCUUCACAGACAUUAGUAAAGUGCUUCCCUGGAUCCACGAACACAUCCAAACUGGUAACUAAGCCAUCACACAAGGUUAAGAAGCUGCCAUUCUGCUAGGGCCAGAGACAGCAUCAGCAGAGUCCUGGCAAAUCAGAGCACCUGAACCAACAGGCUCUACCUCUGUUCUCAGUGUAGCACACAAGGAUUGUGAGGUUUACCAAGUCUAAAUAAAACAAGAGUAAAAUAUGGUAUGUGGAGCAGCAUGCAGAUAUUCAAUGAAAAAUGAAUCCAUCCAUCCUAGACCUUCUCAAACUGGCCUUUAAUUGAAACUAUCUCAGUUGAUGAUAUGCUUUCACCACUUACUUCUCUGGAUUCAGAGUCCAGAGUGCUCACCAUUACACGAUGGCACCACUUACUUCUCAAAAAAAUCCAGCAAACUAUAACAGAUCAGUAGUUAUCAACCAGGGGCAAUUUUGUCCCCAGGGACAGUAUCAGAAGACAUUUUUAAUUGUCACAACUGGCAGAGCUGAGGAGUGGCUCUGGUGUCCAGUGGGUAGGGGACUUGGAUGCUGCUAAACAUCCUACAAAGUACAGGACAGCCUCCCACAACAAAGAAUGAUCCCACCCAAAAGGUUAAUAGUACCAACAAUGAGAAUCCCUGGCGUAGAUCCAGGUAUAGUAAGUCUGCAAAAGCCAGGAUCUACAUGCAGCCAGGCCUCCGUAUCUGCAAGUUCCAUGUCAGCAGAUUCAACCAACUGUGGAUCAAAAAUAUUUGGAGAAAAAUAAAAACAAUAAAAAUAACAGUACAAUAAUAAUGACAAUACAAAUUUUUAAAAAUACAGUGUAACAACUAUUUACAUAGCAUUUACUUUGUCUUAGGUAUCGCAAGCACUCCAGAGACAAUUUAGAGUGCUACAUAGGGGAAGACAUGCCUAGGUUACAUGCAAAUACUAUGCCGUUUAAUCUAAGGAUUUGAGCAUCCUCGGAUUUUUGGUAUCUGCAAGGGUUCUGAAACCAAUCCCCCACAGAUAUUGAGGGAUGAGUGUACACCCUUGUGAUAAACUGACUAGAGAGCUCAUUGCAACUUCUUUGCCUCCUCCAAAUCCAACUUAAUUGUUUUCUUAUCUGGUGGCUUCCAACCUCAAAAAGGCUUUUAUCCUUUUCUAAACAAGUUAAUUUAAAUUAAGUUUAGUAGGAAUUUGAGUUUGUUUUCAAGUGUAUGGUACAGUGGCAGGUAUCUGAGCCCUCAGUUAAAGUUUGACCUAUUUAACCCAGCAACUCUUUUAUAGUUAUGGACAAACUAUUUCCAUCUCUAGCCUCUGUUCUUAUGUAAAAUGACCCCUUCCUCUGUGAAACCUCCAGUUAAUUACCAUUUCAUAUUAGCCCACUUAAUAAAGAGAAUUAAAUCAUUUUAAAACACCAGAGGCCCUUUCCUACUUUAUCCAUUUAUCCCUUCCCUUCUUUCCACAGAUAAGAUUUUUAUUAGUUGCAUAUUGACUUAAAAAUCUCUUGUGCGCCAAGAAGAUGCUAACUUCUUGAAGCGUUGUUCAGGAUACCACAGGCUUUCAAUUGCAUCCUUCUUUUCCUUUCCCAGGUAAUCGGAGAAAGAGCUCCAGAGGUGGGUAUCCCUUGCAGGCUGCUCCAUCAGGAGCACAAAUUAACAUCUAGCAUUUCUGAAUAUCAGUUCCUGAAGUCUUCCUCUCCAAGAGCGCUCCCUGCUCAGUAGGUCUAAAACUACCACCUGGAGCACCUACAGCCAUUAUGCCCAGCAGAAGCCCCAGUUGCCCUCCCAUUUCAUUUCUUAGCAAUCCAGAGCUCUGUCCCAAUUCAGCCAACCUUUGCCAAACACUAGCUUGGAAUCAGAGACUCAAGGAAAGAGGGCAAGGCAGUGCCGAUGUGGUCAGUAAGCUACACACCUUGCCCUGAAAGUGUCCCUACUUAUAUAGGGUCUCAUCCCCUUUGUUCCAUUGCGAUCCUGCGAUGAAUUCACUCUGUGACUUUGGGCGAGCCUUUUCCUAACUCUGGCCCUCAUCCAUAAAGAAAAUAGUGUGGGCCAGAUGGUCUCUAAGACACUUUAGUUCAAAUCUUUAGUUGUUCUUUGAACCCGUGGAAAGAUCUACAAAGAGCAAUAUAGAAAAAUAGUACCCUGAGAGCUCAGAGGAAUGAGAGGCUGCUUCUAGCUGAAAACAAAUAAACUCACAGGGGAGCUCUGAUGCACAGACAUCUUUGAAGCUGCAACUGGAAGGAGGAGUAGGAUUUUGUCAAGUGGAAAUGGAAUAUGGGUAAAGAAAAAUAUUCCAGCUCAAGGAAUCAUCCUUAUUAAAGGAAAGGUCUUAAGGAUGAAGACAGCAACAAAAGCACAGGGCAUGUGAUGAGGAUUUAUAAGGGAGAAGAAUAGAAACAUAACUUGAGAUCAAACUAUGGAAACUUUAAAUGCUAGCCAAAAAAGUUUGGAUACGAUUGAGUAAUAGAAAGCUGAUUAAUUAGAUAAGUAGGUUUGAACUAUAUUUUAAUAGUGUAAGAACAGCAUGUAGGGGAUGGGUUGCGAGGGGACAAAUGCAUGGACGUAUGAAAUUCUUCAUUAGUUUGAGAGACAAGAAAUGAAGGUUUGAACCAAGGCAAUAUCCACAGAAUGAAAAGGAAGGAAUAGAAACGAGAAAUGAGGAUUGGGAGCCAAUUAGAUGAAAGGUUGUAACGAAGAAGGAGGAAGAGAAGAUAGUACCAAAGUUUUGAGCAUGAGAGACUAAGAGAAGGGCACACAAAAAUAAUAAAAUCAGAAGUGGGUGCAGUUUUGCUGACCCAAGGAAUUCUAUUUAUAGCAUAUUGAGUUCUGAGGGAGACAGCUAGGAAACCGUCAUAAAAAAUCAGGUCUGAAGUUCAGAAAUGUAGAGAUGACAUCUGAAAUGGAGGGUGUGAAUGAACCUGGUCCAAGGGAUCAUAGAGACAGAGCAGAUGAGGACGAAGGCUAGAAGCUGGGAAAUACCUGCACUUAUAGAAUAAAGUAUGAGGUCAGCAAAAGAAGAGUAAAGGGCCAGAGGUGGCUCACGCCUGUAAUCACAGCAAUUUGGGAGGCUCAGGUGGGAGGAUCGCUUGAGUCCAGGAGUUCAAGACCAAGCCUAGGCAACAAAGUGAGACUCUGUCUCACAAAUAAUUUCUUCAAAAAAUUAGCCGGGUGUGGCAGUGUGAGUCUGUGGUCUCAGCUGCCCGACAGGCUGAAGCAGGAGGAUUGCCUGAGCCCAGGAGGUUGAGGUUGCAGUAAGCUGUGAUCGUGCCACUGCACUCCACCCUCGGUGAGAGAUUGAGGCCCUGCCUCAAAGAUAAAAUAAAAUAAAAUAAAAAGAGAGAGAAGAGUUAAGGAAAGAAAACCAAUCAUAGAAUCUCAAGGUUAAGCAGGAUCUAAAAGGAACCAAAAAGGCAUCAUAGAAGCAAAGACAGGAGAAGAUUUCAUGAAGAACGAAGAGUACAUCAAGAAGAACCAGGAGGCUAUGGUGUUUGCAGCUUCUGGAGGGAGGGGCUGCUGUGGUUAACUGGCAUAACUAACCCUGACUCUCCUGGCUUUCCCUCCCAGCCUGGUGCAGUGAGCAGGAUGUCAUAGUCAGCGGGGCUGAGGGGAAGCUGCACUUCCCAGAAAGCCUCCACCUAUAUUAUGAGAGCAAGCAACGGUGUGUCUGGACCCUGCUGGUACCAGAGGAAAUGCAUGUGUUGCUCAGUUUUUCCCACCUAGAUGUUGAGUCUUGUCACCACAGUUACCUGUCAAUGUAUUCUUUAGAAGACAGACCCAUUGGAAAAUUUUGUGGAGAAAGCCUCCCUUCAUCCAUUCUUAUUGGCUCUAAUUCUCUAAGGCUGAAAUUCGUCUCUGAUGCCACAGAUAAUGCAGCUGGGUUUAAUCUUACCUAUAAAGCUCUUAAACCAAACUACAUUCCUGAUUCAGGUUGCAGUUACUUAACUGUCCUUUUUGAAGAAGGUCUCAUACAGAGUCUAAACUAUCCUGAAAACUACAGUGACAAGGCUAACUGUGACUGGAUUUUUCAAGCCUCCAAACAUCACCUAAUUAAGCUUUCAUUUCAGAGUCUGGAAAUAGAAGAAAGUGGAGACUGCACUUCCGACUAUGUGACAGUGCACAGCGAUGUAGAAAGGAAGAAGGAAAUAGGUUUGUGUCCUCUGAGCCUCAGCUCGCUCUGGUUUGUGUUUGGACCCAGUCUUGAGAUGGGAACGAAAAGGAGACAGAUCAAUCUUCCUCCAUCUUCCUGCACCACCUCCACCCCUCCCUGUGGUCUCACCAUCACUCCUUUGUCUUCUUCAUUAGGGGCAGGAAGAGAAAAAGGGAGAAUCAAAGAACCACUGAAACAGAAAUGCAAAAGGCCCAUGAGGAAACUAGGAGUCAGAAAGGGAAAGUUCCAUUGAAACAAGUCCUGAGGCUAGAACCAGUUCCCUUAACAUCAUUGUGUGUGGGAGUGUUCAGGAGAGAAAACCAAAUUGAAAUGUCAUGGGGUUAAUUAAGGAGUGAGCUGCCUUUAUUUAGAAAAUGAAUUGUGAAAAGCGUAUUUCUCAACAAUUACCUGAAGGAUGAUUUUCUUUUUUUCUUCUCUCCAAUGCCAUGGCUAUCUGCUGGGUGCUUGACAAUGUCAUGCCUGGGCUGGCCUUCAACAAGCUCGGCUGUGUGGCUAUGAUGUCCCCACCCCUGUGCUGAGCCCCUCCAGCAUCAUGCUCAUCAGCUUCCAAUCAGAUGAAAACGGGACCUGCAGGGGCUUUCAGGCUACAGUCUCCUUCAUUCCUAAAGCAGUAUACCCAGAUUUAAACAUCUCCAUAUCAGAGGAUGAAUCAAUGUUUCUGGAGACAUGAGAUGUGCCAAAUGGAGAAACCAAUGUUUCUGAGGUAAGAAUCAUCGUCAUCAUCAUACCCAUUUUAAAGAUGGAGAAACCAAGACCUGGAAAUGUUCAGUAAUAGUCCCCAGCCAGAUCAUUUGUAAACUGGUGGAGCAGGACUUCAUACCUCAGCAACCUUCUACCAGAGUUCGGCACAGUGCUGUGCUACCUCUCAGAUCCAGAGGGUGCAUGCACAGGUUUGUUCCAUGCAUAUUACUGCACGAUGCUGAGGUUUGGAGUACAAAUGAUCGCGUGACCCAGGAUAAUGGCCUCCAGCUGCACCCACAUUGCUGCAAAGAAUAUGAUUUUGGUUUCUUAUGGCUAUGUAGUAUUCCAUGGUGUAUCUGUACCACAUUUUCUUUUUCCAUUCCACCACUGAUGGGCACCUAAGUGGAUUCCAUGUCUUUGCUAUUCCGAACAGUGCUUUGAUGAACAUGUAAGUGCAUGUGUUUUUUUGGUAGAGUGAUUUAUUUGCCUUUGGGGAUAUAUCCAGUAAUGGGAUUGCUGGGUCAAAUUGUAGUUCUGUUUUCAGUUCUUUGAGAAAUCUCCAAACUGCUCUCCACAGUGGCUGAGCUAAUUUACAUUCCCACCAACAGAGUAUAAGCGUUCUCUUUUAUCCACAGCCUCACCAACAUCUGUUAUUUUUUGACUUUUUAAUAAUAGCCAUUCUGAUUGGUGCAAGACGGUAUCUCAUUGUGGUUUUUAUUUGCAUUCCUCUGAUGAUUAGUGAUGUGGAGCAUUUUUCCAUAUGGCAAACACUCAUUGACCAAUGACUUGGGCAGGACAUCAGUUCCCUCCAGAGGUACUCAGCAAUGAAGGAGGCCUCGUUCCUGCACAGGAAGAGCUGAAUCUUGUGGGGUGGAGUCUCACAGAUGUUCAAACAGUGACAACAGAGGUUCAUCUUGUUUUGUUUUUUUUUCCUCAGCAAACGCUUGUUGAGAGCCUACCCUUGCCAGGCCCUAUUAUCAAGCUGGGGAUUUACAGACAUGAGACUUGUGCUCAUGGUUUAUUUCAGGGGAUUAGUAGAAAAUGAGCCAAAAUCCAGGCAGCACAUGAGCAUGUGAGGGACACAUUUACAGUGUUUACGAGUUAGGAGAAGAGAGGCGAAUCACUGCCCUUUCAAGAUUACUGGGAGCCCAGAAAAAUGCCUUUUAUCCUGCUCCAAGAAUGAAUAAAGAGAAUGUGCUUGCUAUCUGCCUCUCUAAUAACACAGAGGGAACAGGCAGAGAAAAUGAGAGGGAAGAAUGAAGGGUAGAAACAAACUACUAAGAAAACCACAGGAAAAGGUGAGGUGCCUCCGGAUUUCAAAGCUACAAGUAAAAGCUUUUGACAGAGUCCAAGGGGGAAAACAAUGUUUGUUCAUUCAUUCAUACAUACAUGCAAUAAGUAUUUAUUGAGCAUCUACCAAUUGCCAGACACUGUUCUAGGGAUAUAGCAGUAGUUAAAACAGACAAAGUAACUCCUAUCCUCAUGAAGCUUACGAUACGGUUUGGCUGUGUCCUCAUCCGAAUUUCAACUUGAAUUGUAGUUCCCAUAAUCUCCAUAUAUUGUGGGAGGGACCCAGUGGGAGGUGGUUGAAUCAUGAAUCAUGAGGGCAAUUCCCCUCAGGCUGUUGUGAUAGUGAGUGAGCUCUUACAAGAUCUGAUGGUUUUAUAAGGGGCUUUUCCCCUUUUGCUCAGCACUUCUCUUUCCUGCUGCCAUGUGAAGAAGGAUGUGUUCACUUCCCCUUUCGCCAUGAUUUUAUAAGUUUCCUGAGGCCUCCCCAGCCAAGCUGAACUGUCCUGAGGCAAGAAUUUGCCUUUGCCUGUAAUCAAGGGCGAGCCGGGCAGCCAAGGUUCCGAAACGCACCGUGAAGACCCUCUAACUGUGCCUACUAUUCUGCUCCCCUCCGAUCGGCGCGGGGCUCUUGUCCUUCCUCUCUCCACCCAGCGAAUGAAUGAACGCAGGAGCGCUCGGAGUACACGUCUUCAACUCGGCGACGCCCCUGCUUCGGCCCCACCCCGCAAACACCCGCCCCGGACCAGGCCCAGGGUAGGCGCCCAUGAGGACCCGUCCCUGCUCCUGACCAUCACCGUCACUGGGGUCACUGUGCUCGUGUUGGUCCUGAAGAGCAUGAACUCCAGGAGGAGAGAGCCAAUCACCUUACAGGACCCUGAAGCCAAGUACCCGCUGCCCUUGAUUGAGAAAGAGAAAAUCAGCCACAACACCCGGAGGUUCCGCUUUGGACUGCCUUCGCCGGACCAUGUCUUAGGGCUUCCUGUAGGUAACUAUGUCCAGCUCUUGGCAAAAAUCGAUAAUGAAUUGGUGGUCAGGGCUUACACCCCUGUCUCCAGUGAUGAUGACAGAGGCUUUGUGGACCUAAUUAUAAAGAUCUACUUCAAAAAUGUACACCCCCAAUAUCCUGAAGGUGGGAAGAUGACUCAGUAUUUGGAGAACAUGAAAAUCGGGGAGACCAUCUUUUUUCGAGGGCCAAGGGGACGCUUGUUUUACCAUGGGCCAGGGAAUCUUGGAAUCAGACCAGACCAGACGAGUGAGCCUAAAAAAACACUGGCCGAUCACCUGGGAAUGAUUGCUGGGGGCACAGGCAUCACACCCAUGUUGCAGCUCAUUCGCCACAUCACCAAGGACCCCAGUGACAGGACCAGGAUGUCCCUCAUCUUUGCCAACCAGACAGAGGAGGAUAUCUUGGUCAGAAAAGAGCUUGAAGAAAUUGCCAGGACUCACCCAGACCAGUUCAACCUGUGGUACACCCUGGACAGGCCUCCCAUUGGCUGGAAGUACAGCUCAGGCUUCGUUACUGCCGACAUGAUCAAGGAGCACCUUCCUCCUCCAGCGAAGUCCACGCUCAUCCUGGUGUGUGGCCCGCCACCACUAAUCCAGACGGCGGCUCACCCUAACCUGGAGAAGCUGGGUUAUACCCAGGACAUGAUUUUCACCUACUAACACCUCCACGUGCUCAGCAAUUUUGCAUGUCCCUUUUCAUCUGUUUCAGAGUAAGUUCAAUUUCACCACGGUAAACUGGGAUGUUUUCAAAAGUGCCUUGCCAUGUACCUUCGCGCACACACUGGUUCUCCUCUUUUGGGUGUGGGCCUAACAAAAAGGGCUCAAGGGGCUGGAGACUGGCUGCUGGGGCCUCCUUGCUUGGAGGCUGGAAAGAGCUCCAUUUCAGUAUCUUUCUCCGUGGUUUUGUGAAAUAAACUCAAGUACAAAGCAGACAGCCCAUGAAGUGUGGCUCUGUGGGGGACGUGCUAGGCAGUCAGGAGGCCGUGGCCUGGCCUGUGAGUUGGCUUCUGCAUGCCCAUGGGGGUCACAACUGGCAAGUGUCGGGGCAGUUCCUAAAAAACUCCAAGUGGGGUCACAUCAACUCUCAAGAAUCUCUCCAUGGCACUAGGGGUCAUGGUAGGAGUGGUUACACACAGAAACUUCUCAACUUUCAAAGUCAGGUUCCAGAAACUGCCUUAAAUCCUUUGUAUCAUGAAACCCAAACGAGGGUCUGUCGGGGUGGGGGGGAGGGACAGCCAACCUCACCCAUCCCCCUGUUCACUGUCUCCUUGGGGAUCCUUCACUGCUUUCAAGGGAGACCCCACUCUGGCCACCCCCAUCUCUCCAGGACACACUCCAGGGCCUGGCUCCCAAGGCCCUUCUUGGUUUGCUCCUGCCGACUUUAUCAGAUUUUUCUUUCCCUGGGCCCCCAACUCCGACCCCAUUCUCUCACCUACUGGUUCUCAACUGAGGGUGAUUUUGCUGCUCAGGGAACAGAUAACAAAGUCCAAAGACAUGUUGGUUGUCAGCUACAGAAGGGGUGCAUCUACCCUCUAUUAGCAUUUAGAGGGUAGAGACCAAGGAUGCUGCUAAACAUCUUAAAACCCACAGGAGAGCCUCCAUCACAGAGUAUUUCCAUCACAGAGUAUUACGCAGCCCAAAGUGACAGCAGCACAGAGGCCAGGAAACCCUGCUCUAGCCUACCAACUUUUGGCAAUCCCUAG
rnacentral:lncRNA from 1 species